rnacentral:rRNA from 1 species
AUUGAACGCUGGCGGCAUGCCUUACACAUGCAAGUCGAACGGUAACGGGUCCUUCGGGAUGCCGACGAGUGGCGAACGGGUGAGUAAUAUAUCGGAACGUGCCCAGUAGUGGGGGAUAACUGCUCGAAAGAGCAGCUAAUACCGCAUACGACCUGAGGGUGAAAGGGGGGGAUCGCAAGACCUCUCGCUAUUGGAGCGGCCGAUAUCAGAUUAGCUAGUUGGUGGGGUAAAGGCCUACCAAGGCAACGAUCUGUAGUUGGUCUGAGAGGACGACCAGCCACACUGGGACUGAGACACGGCCCAGACUCCGACGGGAGGCAGCAGUGGGGAAUGUUGGACAAGGGGCGCAAGCGUGAUCCAGCAAUGCCGCGUGCAGGAAGAAGGCCUUCGGGUUGUAAACUGCUUUUGUCAGGGAAGAAAUCUUCUGGGCUAAUACCCCGGGAGGAUGACGGUACCUGAAGAAUAAGCACCGGCUAACUACGUGCCAGCCGCCGCGGUAA